rnacentral:rRNA from 1 species
UAGGGAAUCUUCCACAAUGGACGCAAGUCUGAUGGAGCAACGCCGCGUGAGUGAAGAAGGUUUUCGGACCGUAAAGCUCUGUUGUUGGUGAAGAAGGAUAGAGGUAGUAACUGGCCUUUAUUUGACGGUAAUCAACCAGAAAGUCACGGCUAACUACGUGCCAGCAGCCGCGGUAAUACGUAGGUGGCAAGCGUUGUCCGGAUUUAUUGGGCGUAAAGCGAGCGCAGGCGGAAGAAUAAGUCUGAUGUGAAAGCCCUCGGCUUAACCGAGGAAUUGCAUCGGAAACUGUUUUCUUGAGUGCAGAAGAGGAGAGUAGAACUCCAUGUGUAGCGGUGGAAUGCGUAGAUAUAUGGAAGAAUACCAGUGGCGAAGGCGGCUCUCUGGUCUGCAACUGACGCUGAGGCUCGAAAGCAUGGGUAGCGAACAGGAUUAGAUACCCUGGUAGUCCAUGCCGUAAACGAUGAGUGCUAAGUGUUGGGAGGCUUCCGCCUCUCAGUGCGCAGCUAACGCAUUAAGCACUCCGCCUGGGGGAGUACGACCGCAAGGUUGAA